UACGGGGGGAGCAAGCGUUGUUCGGAUUUACUGGGCGUAAAGGGCGCGUAGGCGGCCACCGCAAGUCGACUGUGAAAUCUCCGGGCUUAACCCGGAAAGGUCAGCCGAUACUGCGGGCUAGAGUGCAGAAGGGCAACUGGAAUUCUCGGUGUAGCGGUGAAAUGCGUAGAUAUCGGAAGGAACACCAGUGGCGAAAGCGGCUUCCUGGUCCAGCACCGACGUUCAGGCACGAAGCGUGGGAGCAAACGGG
rnacentral:rRNA from 1 species